AGAGGUAAAAUAUACACUUCCUUUCUUUUCUUUUUUUUCUUACUAAUAUUUUUUUUUCUUUUCUUCUCUAAAACUCCCAACCAAGAUGUUAGAGUUGAGACAUACGAAAAAUAGCAUUGUGAAGAAUGAUUUUUGUUUAAAAGUUUAUUGCUAAAUCACAUGUCACUCUACAAGGUAAAGUGAUCUCCGUUUCUUGUGAAACUAAUUUUAGCUAUGAAUAAUCAUAUAUCUUGCUGUUAGCUGAUGAUCCGAAAACCUAUGAGCUUGUUUUGGUUUCAAUCCGUAGAAACUAUGGGGGUUUCCAAGAUUUGCAGGGGACUGUGCCAAUGGUCAUAGGAAGUGACAUUUUGGAACUUCAUUAGAGCAGAAGUCUGAUAUUACAGAUUUAUGUACUCAGAUGAUGCUUCGGCUUCAUGAUGUUUAUGAUUCAAAUAUCAAUUGCUCUGUUCUUCCUGUUCACUUCUUUUUUCUAACUGUUAUAUGAUUUCCUCUCUUCUUUUUUUUUUUUUGAUUUUUUUUAGAUAAAUAUCAAGGUAAAGGUCGUUUCUGAAUCACCUUGUGGUGUUGUGCCUGCUGCAUGCAGGCGAGCUCAAGCAAACUGGGUUGUACUGGACAAUUAAUGAAUCCAUUCUUUCUCGUAUCAACUUCACAACUGAAGCAUGAGGAGAAGCGCUGCAUGGAAGAGCUAAAAUGUAACAUAGUGGUCAUGGAACGUUCUCAACUUUAAGUUUUUCAUUUGAAUCUUGUUGCGGAUGAAAUUCAUCCCAGAUCGGAGGUGCUGGAGCGUGAUGAAGUCCGGUGAGUCGAUGGUAGUCAGACCUGCAAGAAAAAUCUCCAUCGGAUGUAGCUCCAGCGAAGAUCCUCCAACAUAAAGUCAGAUUUCUCGCAACAGGAGGGAAAGAGCGAGUAUUUUUUAGAAGAAGAGGAGGUGUACCUUUUGAGAUCUCUUGUUUACUUUUUUAUAGAUGAGUUUGGAGCUUUGGAAAGAUGAAGGCCACAAAAAAUCUUUUUUGCCCC